UACGUAGGGUCCGAGCGUUGUCCGGAAUUACUGGGCGUAAAGAGCUCGUAGGUGGUUUGUCGCGUUGUUCGUGAAAACUCACAGCUCAACUGUGGGCGUGCGGGCGAUACGGGCAGACUAGAGUACUGCAGGGGAGACUGGAAUUCCUGGUGUAGCGGUGGAAUGCGCAGAUAUCAGGAGGAACGCCGGUGGCGAAGGCGGGUCUCUGGGCAGUAACUGACGCUGAGGAGCGAAAGCGUGGGGGAGCGAACAGG
rnacentral:rRNA from 1 species